rnacentral:rRNA from 1 species
GUCCUCUUGGUAUUUUAUGAGAGGUCAGGCCUGCUCAGUGAGUUUUAAAAAGCCGCGGUAUUUUGACCGUGCUAAGGUAGCAUAAUCAAUAGUCUAUUAAAUGUGGUCUGGAAUGAAAGGUCAGACGGGGAGUAGCUGUCUUAAGCUCAUGGUUGAAAUUAAAAUAUUAGUUAAAAUGCUAAUUUGAGUUAGAGGGACGAGAAGACCCUAUAGAGCUUUAUAUUAUCCUAUAAGUGAUAGAGGAUGAAAUUAGGAUAUAUUUUGUUGGGGCGACAUAAAAUAUAAACAUUUUAUAAAUUUUCUUUUAUAGAAGGAUUUUUGAUCCAUUAUUAGUGAUUAGUAGACUAAGUUACCUUAGGGAUAACAGCGUAAUCCUAUUUUAGAGUUCGUAUCGAUAAUAGGGUUUGCGACCUCGAUGUUGGAUUAGAAGUCCCCUAAGGCGCAGAAGUUUCAAGGGGUAGUCUGUUCGACUAUUAAAUUUCUACAUGAUCU